GAAUCACAAACAAGAAGAUAAUAGAUUCAAAUACUGUUUUGCAGGUGUUUCCAAAUAUAGAUGCCACAAGGACAAGUUGGGAGCUUAUAAAGACAAGAAGUUUGCUUGUGGCAAUUCCUAGAAUAAGAAGCCAAAUAACAGCUAUAAGGGUCGCAACCAAAAUAUUCACCAUGUGAUGCAGCUUGUUUACAGCUGUUUUUGUGUCAUUCAAUGUCAACGCAAGUGCUCUCCUUUCUCUAAAAGCAUUAACCACCCA
rnacentral:misc_RNA from 1 species